UAGGGAAUCUUCGGCAAUGGGGGGAACCCUGACCGAGCAACGCCGCGUGAGUGAAGAAGGUUUUCGGAUCGUAAAGCUCUGUUGUUAAGGAAGAACGAGUGUGAGAAUGGAAAGUUCAUGCUGUGACGGUACUUAACCAGAAAGGGACGGCUAACUACGUGCCAGCAGCCGCGGGAAUACGUAGGUCCCGAGCGUUGUCCGGAUUUAUUGGGCGUAAAGCGAGCGCAGGCGGUUAGAAAAGUCUGAAGUGAAAGGCAGUGGCUCAACCAUUGUAGGCUUUGGAAACUGUUUAACUUGAGUGCAGAAGGGGAGAGGGGAAUUCCAUGUGUAGCGGUGAAAUGCGUAGAUAUAUGGAGGAACACCGGUGGCGAAAGCGGCUCUCUGGUCUGUAACUGACGCUGAGGCUCGAAAGCGUGGGGAGCGAACAGG
rnacentral:rRNA from 1 species